CUUCUGUACACUUCAUUACAAGUAGCAAGUCGAUAUUUAGCUAUUAAAAUUUUUCACCCAAGAAAGAAUAUAUAUUUGAUACAACACAUUCAAGAACGAGCUGAUCAACGUUUUCAUUCGCAACUUUAGCAAGAAACGGUGUUUUGGAACAAGUGCUGCUAUAUUGUAACGUGAUCAAAGUUUUGUGUUGCUAUUGGCCAAGGACAAAUGUCUCAGCUAG